rnacentral:tRNA from 1 species
GGAGAGCUGUCUGAGUGGUUUAAGGAGACAGUUUGCUAAAUUGUUGAGGUAUAGUGAUAUAUCUCCAUGGGUUCGAAUCCCAUGCUCUCCUCCA